GCUAAAUCAGCUGACAUCCAGACCAAGGUACAAAAUUAUUUUCUCUUGUCUAUUUUUUCCCCAAAUCCCAUAAGAACUGCAAGUUUUUUACUUUCACCUGAAAACCCACUGCAUGUGGGGAAGAAACAAAACGAAUAAGAAUUUAAAAGAAAGUAUAAGUUUAAGACAUUAAGACCUAAAAAACACUCAAUGAUGAGCAAAACUGAAAACACCUCAUAGGUGACGAAUUAUGAAUUUAGGACCCGUUUUAAAGUCCUUUUAUUGGUUUUUAAACCUCUAAAUGGUCUGGCACCUGUUUAUUUGUCUGACUUGUUGAAGCCCCACGUCCCCACUCGUUCCCUUCGGUCAGCUGAGCAGUUGCUGCUUUCGGCCCCAAAGUCACGGCUGAAACUUGGAGGAGACCGAACGUUCUCUGUUGCAGCGCCGAAGCUUUGGAAUAACCUUCCUCUCCAUGUUAGACAGGCUACAUCAGUGCCAGUUUUAAGUCUUUAUUAAAAACCUAUUUUUAUUCCCUGGCUUUUAACUCUGUGGGUAACUGACUUUUUUUAUUUUUUUUAUUGCUAUUUCUGGUUUUAUUACCAUGUGCAUAUUAGUAUUGUACAGCACUUUGGUCUACCAGGUGUGUUUUUAAAGUGCUAUAUAAAUAAAUGAUGAUGAUGAUGUUUUUGAAAACAUUUGUCUCAUGGCAUGAGGAUUCAGGUAAAAGAGUACAAAACCACAAAUAUAUCUAAUAACGUUAAAUCAGUAACAAUUUGCACAGUGACACUGCACCAGUGGCAUAAACAUGCAAAGUCCAGUUUAAUGACUCUGAUUAGCAGACAUGCCUGUUAAGAUUUUUUUUUUAAACAGGAGAAAAAGAAAAUAUUGUCACCCAACAUACCGUGUUUAUAAAGGGAGAAACUCCACACCAGGAAUGAAACCUUUUUUUAAAGCAGACUGUAAAACUGUCCUUUCAGGAAGUUGAAGUGAGAGUCUGUGGGGAUCAACUCAUUUUUGAUGUGGCUCCAGUUUUUUGUUUUUUCUUCUGUGUUGAAUUUUUUUCUUCAUCCUGGAACUUUUUGUGCACCAGAAGUGGGCAAAUAUGCAAAAUAAUGAUGCAACCAAACAGACUAAACAACCAAUCACUGCAUAUAACAUCAUUUGGGAUUAUCCAAUCUAACUCCAAACCUCUUGGCGAGGUGGAGGAAGCCGGCGUGCAAACACUGGCA
ensembl:lncRNA